rnacentral:rRNA from 1 species
UGGGGGAUAUUGCACAAUGGGCGAAAGCCUGAUGCAGCGACGCCGCGUGGGGGAUGAAGGCCUUCGGGUUGUAAACUUCUUUUGCUCUGAACAAGGCAUGCUAAUGGGUGUGUUGAGUGUAGGGGUUGAUUAGCGCCGGCUAACUACGUGCCAGCAGCCGCGGUAAUACGUAGGGCGCGAGCGUUGUCCGGAAGUAUUGGGCGUAAAGGGCUUGUAGGUGGCUGGUUGCGUCUGUCGUGAAAGCUCAUGGCUUAACUGUGGGUUUGCGGUGGGUACGGGCUGGCUUGAGUGCAGUAGGGGAGGCUGGAAUUCCUGGUGUAGCGGUGGAAUGCUCAGCUAUCAGGAGGAAUACCGGUGGCGAAGGCGGGUCUCUGGGCUGUUACUUACACUGAGGAGCGAAAGCAUGGGGAGCGAACAGG